rnacentral:rRNA from 1 species
ACAGAGACUCCAAGCGUUAUUCGGAUUCACUGGGCGUAAAGGGAGCGCAGGCGGCCAGAUGUGUCAGAUGUGAAAUACUGCAGCUUAACUGUAGAACUGCAUUUGAAACUAUCUGGCUAGAGUAUCGGAGAGGUAAGCGGAAUUCCAGGUGUAGCAGUGAAAUGCGUAGAUAUCUGGAGGAACACCAAUGGCGAAGGCAGCUUACUGGACGAUUACUGACGCUCAGGCUCGAAAGCAUGGGGAGCGAAAGGG